GGACAGAUGGCCGAGCGGUCUAAGGCGCUACGUUCAGGUAAAAUGGUUCUCUCUCCGGAGCUAAGAUACCACACCACUGGGCUUCGUAGUCUCGAAAGAGGCGUGGGUUCGAAUCCCACUCUGUUCA